rnacentral:rRNA from 1 species
UACGUAGGGGGCAAGCGUUGUCCGGAUUUACUGGGCGUAAAGAGCGUGUAGGCGGCCACGCAGGUCCGUUGUGAAAACUGGAGGCUCAACUUCCAGCCGUCGACGGAAACCGUGUGGCUAGAGUCCGGAAGAGGAGAGUGGAAUUCCUGGUGUAGCGGUGAAAUGCGCAGAUAUCAGGAGGAACACCAAUGGCGAAGGCAGCACUCUGGGACGUGACUGACGCUGAGACGCGAAAAGCGUGGGGGAGCAAACAGG